rnacentral:tRNA from 1 species
AAGAAAGUGACAGAGUGGUGAUGUGGUUGGCUUGAAACCAACAUAUGGGGGUUCAAUUCCUUCCUUUCUUG